CCUACGGGGUGCAGCAGUGAGGAAUAUUGGUCAAUGGGCGAGAGCCUGAACCAGCCAAGUCGCGUGAGGGAAGACGGUCCUAUGGAUUGUAAACCUCUUUUGCCGGGGAGCAAAAAGCGGUACGUGUACCGCAUCGAGAGUACCCGGAGAAAAAGCAUCGGCUAACUCCGUGCCAGCAGCCGCGGUAAUACGGAGGAUGCGAGCGUUAUCCGGAUUUAUUGGGUUUAAGGGGUGCGCAGGCGGCGGGUUAAGUCAGCGGUAAAAUUUCGGGGCUCAACCCCGACAAGCCGUUGAAACUGGCUUGCUAGAGUGGGCGAGAAGUAUGCGGAAUGCGUGGUGUAGCGGUGAAAUGCAUAGAUAUCACGCAGAACUCCGAUUGCGAAGGCAGCGUACCGGCGCCCAACUGACGCUCAGGCACGAAAGCGUGGGUAUCGAACAGGAUUAGAUACCCUUGUAGGC
rnacentral:rRNA from 1 species